rnacentral:rRNA from 1 species
CCUACGGGGGGCUGCAGUGGGGAAUAUUGGACAAUGGGCGAAAGCCUGAUCCAGCCAUGCCGCGUGUGUGAAGAAGGCCUUCGGGUUGUAAAGCACUUUCAGUGGGGAAGAAAGCCUUGGGGCUAAUACCCUCGAGGAAGGACAUCACCCACAGAAGAAGCACCGGCUAACUCCGUGCCAGCAGCCGCGGUAAUACGGAGGGUGCGAGCGUUAAUCGGAAUUACUGGGCGUAAAGCGCGCGUAGGCGGUCUGAUAAGCCGGUUGUGAAAGCCCCGGGCUCAACCUGGGAACGGCAUCCGGAGAGGACAGGCAGAAGAGCAGGGGCGGAAGAUAGAGCCCCGGGGGGCGCGGGGAAGGGCGGAGGAACGGGGAGGAACACGAGGGGGGAGGGGGGCCUUGUGGACGGACCCUGACGCUGGGGUGGAAAAGAGGGGAAAGAAAACGGGAUCAGAACCCCAAUAAUUC